AUCCAAAAUGGCGGCUCGGCUCAGUUUUCCCUUUCGGGCGCUCUCGUUUUCUGUUACAAUUUGGUAAAGAAAAAAAUAAAUAUAUUAUUUACCAGGGCGGCACGGUGGUGUAGUGGUUAGCACUGUCGCCUCACAGCAAGAAGGUCCUGGGUUCGAGUCCCGUGGCCGGCGAGGGCCUUUCUGUGUGGAGUUUGCAUGUUCUCCCCGUGUCCGCGUGGGUUUCCCCCACAGUCCAAAGACAUGCAGGUUAGGUUAACUGGUGACUCUAAAUUGAGCGUAGGUGUGAAUGUGAGUGUGAAUGGUUGUCUGUGUCUAUGUGUCAGCCCUGUGAUGACCUGGCGACUUGUCCAGGGUGAACCCCGCCUUUCGCCCGUAGUCAGCUGGGAUAGGCUCCAGCUUGCCUGCGACCCUGUAGAAGGAUAAAGCGGCUAGAGAUGAUGAGAUGAGAUGAGAUUAUUUACCAGCUUAAGGUCGGUCCGUAUGGUGAAAUACCGUGACCUCGGCCCAGAGGGCCUCAUUCAGUACUUUCAAUAUAUAUAUAUAUGAAUCACUGUAUAUAAAAAUCACUUCAUUUUGCUUUUACUUAAAUUAUUGAACUUUUUAAAAUUUAUUUUAUUUUUAUUCAGACUAUUUUAAGACAUGUUUGCUUCUUUGAUUCAGGAGCUUGGUUGCAAAUCUGAAUUUCCCUCCGGGGAUUAAUAAAGUAAUUCUGAUUAAAUUCCCACAAUGCAUUGCGUCGUUUGUUUUACGCGCGCCCUUUACUCCUUCGGAGGACGAGCGGGAGUUACUAUAGCAACAUCUUUCCAGACUUCUCCUCAGACUCCUGUGCAGAGUGCAGCUAAGAAGUAGUUGACUGGAGGAGUGACAGGCAGAGGAUCCUGGAGCAGAAAAGCGCGGAGUUGGAGAAAAAGGAGCAGUUUGAGAGAGAUGCAUAGAGGGUUCUCUGGACCAUGUUGGAAAUACUUCUCCUCAGACUCCUGUGCAGAGUGCAUCUAAGAAGUGACCGUCGUGAUAGACAAGCAGCAGGUCGAGGUCUCGGUGGGAAACAAGGAGAUGGAAGGGGCGAGCCAAGGAAUCCCGUGUGCCGCUGCGGGAGAAGCGCCGACAAAAGGAGCGCACAGAGGGACUCAGGACGGCAUCCCCACCCAGACCCAAACUUCAACCUCUCACAAGUGGAGCGCAGCGUAGGUUCACUACCACAACGUGGACCAGGAGAAGGUGGCACUGUGUUUACUGUGCAUGGAGAAGCUCUGGCACCAGGGCAGCACCACCAACCUCAUUAGACACCUGCAGAACAAGCACCCUACUGAGUAUGGCCAGGUCAAACAGCAGUUACAGAAACGACCCCCUAAACGCAAAAACAAGGAUCUGGAUUACUUCCCUGCAACUUCAAAUAUUCACACCAUGCUGGCCAGCCAGAGCGUCUCGUCUCAGCUCAGCAGCAGUCCCACAGGUACACAUCUCCCCGGGUUCUUUUUCUGUCUCUUCACACACAGUCAUAGAUUGUUGUUUUUUGUUUGUUUAUUGGCACAAAAAACAGAAGAAAUGAAAUGAUUUUUUUUAAAGUGCAGGAGGAGAGAAGCACAACAAGGCUUAUGCUAAGCCCUCCUCCUUUAAAUUAAACAAAUACUAAUCACAAUACUAAUGAAUUCUCAGAUGACUUAGCAGAACAUAAAUAUAACAAUCUAAUGGAGCACUUGCAUGUGACGUCACAGCCGAUCCAGAUUGUGACAGACGCCAUCGUGUCGGUCAAACGCCAUAUUCCGCCUUCUACUUCUACUUUUACUUCUACCUUUUCUUCUGGAAAACCCUACUAUAUACAAUUCUACUACAACGGCUGCGGCUACAAGCUCUCCCUACCUGUGCACGUUUUUUGUUUUUUGUGUGUAUUUUUGCGUGGUGUUCGUCUGUACCGGACUUCAAUAUCCACUACAACCGUAUGGACUUACUGGACAUUGGUUUCCAGCAGAAAAUGACGGUUUGUAGCGAUUUCCAUCGCAUGCACAACAUUCCGGACGAGAAAAAAAAAACAUUCCGGACGAGAUAGCGAGACCAGCGGGGUCUCCGUGGAUUAUCGGAAGCAAAGCGAAGGAGGCGGUGCCGGGAGCCGAAGCAAAAGCGAGGCUGCAGAGCCGGCCUGUUGACUAAGCUCAGAAAACAGCCACUCAAAUCUCCACUGCCAAGCCUCUACCUCUCCAACGCCAGGUAAACAAGACGGACGAUUUGGAAUUACCUUAUUCUAUUCUAUAAUCGGCUGGUCAGUGCUAUACUCAAUACUUAAGUGACUUACCCAUCCAAUGAGGAUUCUUGUUUACAAGAUGCCACAUCUGAGUCGCUGACGAAUCCUGAAUUUCUGUAAAGAUAACUGUCCAGAGAUUUAUAAGCACGCAGUGCUUCACCACUGAACAGCCAGGGAAAGUUAAUGAGGUAAUUAUACACGUCCGGGUAUUCCGCUGGCAGUUCAAAAUCCGGUCGUUGUGUACUUUCCGGUCACGUGACUGCAAGAUCUCUAUACAGUUCAAUGGAUUGCAGAAUAAGCAUAUACAAUUAAAUCAAUAACAGUGACAAAAAAUGCAAGAUGAAAAUGCAUUAACACUAUAAAUCAAAAACCAUAUGAUGAAAUAGAGGAUUUAGAAGUGGUUGGGAUUGGAUAGCAGAUGGUUUUUAAGGUUACGUUUGAAAGUUAUCAUAGAGGUAAAACUCUUUAGGGAGAGGGGAAGAUCAUUCCAUACAUUGAUGCAUUUGUAUUUCACACUCAUUUGGGCCAAGGAAGUUCUGAAUAGGGGAAUGUGUAAUUGAGUGCUUUGGCGAAUUAGAUAAUUGUGAAACUGAACGAAAAUUUAAGAAAGUUGUCAAAAGUGUCAGGCAGAUUGAGAUUUGUGAAUUGAGCUGUGAAAAGAGCUAGUUGAAAUCUGUUAAUAUCCAAAAUAUUCAAAAUUCUAAGCUUUUCAGACAGCGGUGAUGAGUGAGUGUAGUAUCUGAAACCGGUGGCAAUACGUACAAAUUUUUUCUGUAGUAUUAAUAUAGGGUGAAGGGAAGUUCUGUAGGCACAUCCCCAAACAAUAUUGCAAUAGAUGAGGUAAGGGUGGAUCAAGCUGUUAUAUAUUAAGGGUUCUCUGUGUUAGAAAGUGUCUAAUUUUUCCCAUAAUCCCAAUAGUUUUUGAAAUUUUAUCUACUAGCAUAGCAGUGUGAGCCUUCCAUGUAGAGGUCGACCGAUAUGGGUUUUUCUAAAGCCGAUACCGAUAUUUAGAGGUCAGAGUCAGCCGAUGGCCGAUAUGAGCUGCCGAUUUUUUUUGGACCGAUAUUUAGGGCCGAUAUGCUAUCGUGUUGUCCUUAAUUGGCAUGCUAAAAUAUUAUACUAGUAAGAGGAUGCACAACACUUUUAAACUUGACACGAUUUAUUGAAAAUUGAACACUCUGAAAAAAUCAACAUAUGAAAUAAAUAUAAAAUAAAUAAAUACCAGUUAAGUCAAAGGCUACUAAUGAAAUACUACUGAACUGAGUCUGAAAUAUUCAAUAUAUAAUCAACAUAAAAAUAAAUAUGAAAUAAAAAUUAGUGCUGCAAACACACUAGUAACACACAGACCUGCCUACCCUUACGAUUUCUGCGUAAAAAUUUUUUUCACCAUCUGAAAUACGCCAAUACGAGUUGACUUAAAUAUAUACGCAAACACGGAAUAUAUGAUGUAACCAACCUGAAAAUAUUUUGAGUCGAUGAGAAAAAAAAUUCUGAUACGUAAAUAAUCAUUAUCAUCAUGAACUGCCACCAACUGUCUGCAGAAAACAUCCAAAUAAUUUUUUUUAAGAUACUUGUUCACGUCGUCUUUUCAUUCGGAUAUCGGGAAGUGACGAGUUUAUCAGAAUGUCAACUUCUGAAAUGUUAGUGACAACACAUGUUAUCCUUUGGAUUUUUUUUGUCUGUGAAUCCAAGAAUAAAUCUUUCAACAUCUUUCCAGACUUCUCCUCAGACUCCUGUGCAGAGUGCAGCUAAGAAGGUGAGUGGGAUCCAUUUUGGGUUUUUCCCGGCUCCGGGAUGUCGGGUUUUAAAUAAUGUUUUCUAGAACUCUUUAAAUCGUGCACUAGUGGGUGAAAAUGGUGUGAUUUACCACACACACACUCAUUUUUUUGUAAAUAUAUUUCCUGGCGGCCAUGUUUGCGUCAGAGAAAUAACUUGCGGCGCUGCAGAGAGCCCACCGGCUAGGCUAUGGAGCUAACGCUUGAGGCCAACAUUAUCAUAACACAACCUGAUAAAAACAGCAAAAAGCUACGCUAAUAAACACCGGUCAGAUAUUCCACUCACUAAACGCGUUUCAUAAAUGAGGAGUUGUGGAGUUCUUCAGGUUAUUUGUCGAUAUUCCCGCGUGAGCUUUGCUAACUAGCUAGCUGGCUAAUAUCAGCUGAAUGUUCUUUCUCCGCGCGCUGCCUUUUUUCCCCCAGGCGCCAUUUUGUCCCUGUAUGUUCUCGUGCGCACCGCCAGAAAAAUGCAGCAUUAAAAGCGGCGGAAUAAAAGAUGUGAGUGUCAGUAAGAGCACGAGACUCUCCGCCCUUAGGCCAAAAAAAAAAUAGUGUGUUUCAGGUAACAUGAAAUACUAAAACUUGGUGUGUGGUGCUCGUUCGCUUGUGUGUGUGUUGCUCGGCUUCGGACUAUAUUUCUAAGUUAAUUUGACUACUGAUUCUCGACUAGUGAUUUUGGAUUUCGGCCAGUGGACAGUGCCUGGUUUACGACGCUGAUUUGGAACUGGACUUGCACGAUAGUUGGCUAGUUUACAAACUAACUAGCCGGUGGCUAAGAAAACAGCUGCAAACAGCUGACCCGGCGUUGGGCAUCGUUACCUAGCAGCAGCAUGCCGCGGGAGAGGGCAAUGACAGCAGAGGAGGGUGAGGAACUCAAGACGACCCUGGAGUUUUUGGCUAAGGAGAUUUCUGCUGUUAAACAGCAGCAGAAAGGCAUCCUGGAGCUGGUGGAGGUGAAGGCUCUCCGGAUCCAGAACGCCGAGAAAGACCGGCGUCUGGCGGAACUGGAGAACAGAGUGGCGGAUCUGGAGCAGUACUCAAGGAUCAAGGAUGUGAUCAUCACCGGGCUCCGCAUUAAACCCCGGUCAUAUGCCCAGGCAGUGACCACUGACAACGGGGUGGAGCCCGGUGAGCAGGAUGACCGAUCGACAGAGCAACAGGUGGCUGCUUUCCUCCACUCAAAGGGCUUUGAAGUGGAUUUAAACACCGUGGAGGCAUGCCAUACUUUGCCCCGGAGAAAUGACAGAAAUACACCGGCCGUAAUCAUGAGAUUCAUAAACAGAAAAUACAAGACUGCAUUGCUGAAACUGGGAAGGAAAUUGAAAGGGACAGACGUCUUCAUAAAUGAGCAUCUUAUAAAACGAACCUCUGACAUUGCAAGAAAGGCACGCAACUUGAAAAGACAGGGAAAGAUUCAAAGCACAUGGACCAAUAAUUGUAAAAUGUUAAUUAAGCUUAACGGAACGCCAGAGCAAGCCAAGGUUGUGGUCAUCAAGACCAUGGAGGAGCUGGACAGGUACCAAUAAUCACCAUAAACCGGACUGUAAGGAGUAUGAUGAAUUAUUUGCAACACACAACUAUGACAUCGUCGGAAAUAACUCCUUCACCUGCAUCUGGAGUUAAUGAUGGUACAUCUCAAAGGAUUCCUGAUCAUAACAAUAUGGAGCUAAAAACCUUUCAAUAUUCCGAUUAUAAUUUACUGGAUAUAGAAAACGAUAUAGAUCCGGACAACAACUUCUUUUUCAAUAUUAAUGACAACUGCUAUUAUUACACAAACAAACAACACAAUCAUAUGGAAUAAAUUGUGCCAAAAUGUUCAUACAAUACUUUUGAAAUAUCAAACAAAAAUGACAAAUCAAAAUACAAGUCAAUUUUUUGAGACUGGCAAACAAAUUAUUCAUGUAAUCGUGCAAAAUAUCAGUCUAUUACUCUUCAGAAACCUUUUUUUGUUCCGCGUCUUUCUCAGUUUUGUUUGACGUAAUUUAUUUUGGUUGCGAUUCCAGCUUUCUCGUUUGCGCUCCCUGACUUUUUGCUUGCAGUUUUGGCACAAACUUCACGUGUGGGUGGGCUGUCCAGGAAUGCAUUCCCAUUGGCUAACUUGUGUUUGACUGACAGCUACGCUCAGCGAUUCCCCCGGAGGCUGUUGUGGCCAUUUCCUACUCGGAUUCUGGCGGACUGUUUGACGAGUGACUGAUCCAUUGACGGUAAACAAGGAUCGAGUGGACUUCAGUGGCGACUAUGAUAUUGAAUUAAUUCAACAAAGUGUAAGUGCGGGACAGAUGUGUUGUAUGUGUUGCAGUAGUGCACAUUAUGCAGGUGUUUCGUGGCAAGUCAAAUGUUAGACUCAGCUCCACUACCCAAUAUAAUAGCUGUUUUGCUGACGUUAAACACACCUGCAUAAUGUGCACUACUGCAACGUCCUCAAUCGGUCAAGUUACCGGAAACAUUUUUUUUUUUUUGGCCUAAUCCGGUGCGGGUGUUGCACGCGGCUCUGUUCGCUUCCACUGAAGUGAAUCACUCAUUUUGCACUUCGUUAACGGAUCGAGAGAAUCGGUUCUCUAAACCAGGGGUUUUCAAAGUGUGGGAGAGUCAGCCCCCCCUCGGAGAGCAAAUAAACAACAGCGCCCCCCCUUACAAUUUUUGUUGUUGCUAUACUUAGGCCGAAUCCCAUUUCACCCCUUGGACCUACCCCUUGGCCCUUCCCCUCCAUUUUGCGCGUUCACGUGAAGGGGUAGGGGUAUCCCAAUCCCAGUUAACGCGGAGGGGUAGGGGAAGGGGUAGGGCUUCUGUACCCCUCCAAACGGAGAUUUUCCUGGAGCUGACUCCGAACGAAGGGGUUUGAGUGAUUUCCCACAAUGCCAUGCGGAUUUCAGCGAGAUUUCAUGCGGAUUUCAGAAAGAUGGCGGUUCCCGCGGCAAAAGAUUGUCAUAAAUGUAAGUAUUUUCUCCAUUAUUUACGUAAGUUGUUAUAACCGUUCUAUUACUACGUCAAUAGUGUUAACUAGCCUAUUAACGUUAACGUACUAUAACAUUAACGUUGUGUGAUCGGUUGAUGCAAUGAAAAUUGUGAACAAAGUUGUUAUUUAGCAGUUAGCUCAAGUAAUUACAAACAACAGAGGAUCUGCUUUUCUGUUGUCGUUACGUUAACCAGCUUCCCAUCCCUGUGUACUUGAACUAGGGAAUCCAGAGGAAACACGCCGCUUGAUUCGCUUUCGAGCUGAGAAUGAGCAGCGAUUUCUGAAAUCCAAAGCUGCUGCUAAAAAGCUUUGGGAGACGCUGAUCAAGGAGCUUGGCCUGGAGGGAAAGGUGACCUCCCAGCAAGCAUCAAAAAAGUGGGAGAACUUGAAAAAGAAGUAUAAGGAGCUGAAAAAUCCACUCUCUGGGAGUGGGACAGAUGAGGGCCAAACAACUGCGUGCACAUGGCAGUUUUUUGAGGACAUGCACGAGGUGUUGGGAUCCAGGCCAUCCAUUGACCCUCCAGUGGUAGUGGAAUCAUUUUGUCCUGAUGCUGAUCCCACACUUCUUCUGAUGGAAAUCGCCGGGCCCUCCUCAGACACCUUUUUUCCCAUGGCAGCCAGCACCUCUGAUGCUGACACAUCUACUACCUCUAGCCCUGCUCCUAUUCCCCCAACCCUGUCCCCAAAGAAGAGGAGGAAGUUAGACUUGAUAAAUUUCCUUGCACAGGAGAGUGAGAAGGCGCAGAAGCGCCAUGAGGAGACCGAGGAGAAGACGGAGCGCUUUUUGGGUCUUUUUGAAAAAUUGGUAGAAAAA